CAAUAGCGUAUAUUAAAGUUGUUGCGGUUAAAAAGCUCGUAGUUGGAUUUCUGCUGAGGACGACCGGUCCGCCCUCUGGGUGAGUAUCUGGCUUGGCCUUGGCAUCUUCUUGGAGAACGUAGCUGCACUUGACUGUGUGGUGCGGUAUCCAGGACUUUACUUGAGGAAAUUAGAGUGUUCAAAGCAGGCCUAUGCUCUGAAUAGGUUAGCAUGAUAAUAAUAGAAUGAGGUACUUCGGUACUAUUUUGUUGGUUUCUAGGACCGAAGUAAUGAUUAAUAGGGACAGUUGGGGGCAUUCAUAUUCCAUUGUCAGAGGUGAAAUUCUUGGAUUAACGGAAGAUGAACUACUGCGAAAGCAUCUGCCAAGGAUGUUUUCAUUGAUCAAGAACGAAAGUUAGGGGAUCGAAGAUGAUCAGAU
rnacentral:rRNA from 1 species